GAUGAACGCUAGCGGCAUGCCUUACACAUGCAAGUCGAACGGCAGCACGGGAGCAAUCCUGGUGGCGAGUGGCGAACGGGUGAGUAAUAUAUCGGAACGUGCCCAGUCGUGGGGAUAACGUAGCGAAAGCUACGCUAAUACCGCAUACGAUCUAAGGAUGAAAGCGGGGGACUCGCAAGAGCCUCGCGCGAUUGGAGCGGCCGAUAUCAGAUUAGGUAGUUGGUGGGGUAAAGGCUCACCAAGCCAACGAUCUGUAGCUGGUCUGAGAGGACGACCAGCCACACUGGAACUGAGACACGGUCCAGACUCCUACGGGAGGCAGCAGUGGGGAAUUUUGGACAAUGGGCGCAAGCCUGAUCCAGCAAUGCCGCGUGCAGGAUGAAGGCCUU
rnacentral:rRNA from 1 species